UCUUCUACAAAACUGAGCUCAUCAUAUCUUGGGUUCAAUAGAGGGAAUGGUUUUGGCGUCUGAGUAUGUCUGAAGGCCAGGAUGAAGAGGAAGAUGAUGCUGAAAGACUCGAGAAUUCUAAAUUUAACAUCGAAUUAGUGAUUCACCAGACGGAACUCUUUCGAAUAGAGGGCCUGGACGACGAGCUCACUCUAGGAAGAAAGAGUAUUUAAAAAAAACUCAAGAGAUGCCACGGCUGCUCAGAUCUACGGAGGGAAACUGAGAAGAUUCGUUCAUCACCAUUUUGAUCAGCAGCGUGGCUUCCUCAUCUCCCCUUCCCAAGAUAUUUCGGGAUCAAGUCGGACUCCAGCUAUUGGCUCGAAUUAUCUUUUGAGGUUUCAGUCAGUCUCAGUCUCAUUGUCAAGGCAGCUUUUGCACAUGUCCGUAUGAGAGCAUGCAUUUUUAGCGCUCGUCAACUUUGUCCAUAUCCUGCAAAGCUGUCAACAACAAGAAAUAGAAAAGUCAGGCAAAGUAUCAAGCAUGAGGAUUCUCGUAAGUUUAUCAAACUUUAUAACUGCUAAAGGUACUCAGACGAAGGAAGAGCAACAUUGUGUUCAUCAUUAGAGGGGAAGAAACUACCUUUUCAAAGGGAAGAAAGGAUUUCUCUUCAGCUCCACUGGUUGUUUGUUCCCUCUUCUUGGUUCUUUGAAGGUUCAAAUCCUUUGGUAUUUACUAUCAUGUUCGGGGCUGAAUCACGUCCUGUUUCUUUUCUUUUUCCAACCGAAUCAGUGAUUUACCAGGCAUAUAUCCAAUUCAAGUUAUUUGCAUUGGCUUCUUGUACAGUUUAAUCAUUGAUCAACGACUUUGCAAACAGGAUGCUUAAUUGUGUGAAUAACACUUAAUUAUACAGAUUAACUUUA